GAUAUUUAUUGGGUUCCUGGUUACGGAUCAUGAACCCUGCUUCAUGCAGGAAAACUAUAUUGGCUCGCAAUAUAAAAUCGAAACCUUGUCUAGUUUGGUAAGGGUCCUUAUCAGUGUGACUAGCAUCCCACGCACUGGAGAACAAUGUUGUCACCAUUUUGACAACCUCUGCCGGAGAAAACGGGAUACCCUUGAUUGGUGGAUCAGGGAGUGUCAAGCAAAGAGUACCGCAGAGAUGUCUGCAGAAGAGUGGGCCUCGAAUGUGAGGUCCCAUGCGAGGUAAUUGACCCGGAUGGAAGAAGCAUGUGAUAUGAAUGAGUGAGGAAGCAGCUGUUGAAAAGGGUUCAGAAUAUGACUACCCCCAAAAAGAAACAGAGAUUGACCCCUUCAAGAAAGAGACCAUGACACCUUAGCUUUCAAAACUACCAGGAGAUGUCCACUGAUGAGACUGAUGACUCUACCACAUCUGUGAUAGAGAGGUCACCACAGUGUAGCACCCCAGAGCUUGACCAGUUGGAUGAUAGUCUAAAGAAACAGGCAAGACAUCAUACAACCCUACAAGAGAUGGACAAAAGCAAUCUCAGACCCAACAAGAAGGAUGUUUCACAGCUCCUGGACCUUGAAUUCCAAGCAAGACAUGCCUUCAUUGACUCUGAUGUUACUAAGGGGCAGGACAAGCCUACCAAGAUUGUUCAAGCAUAUUCUUGCUUCAGGGAACUGACUCAUGCAAGCAAAUGUGCUCAUUUUAAGUACACAUAUAUGUAACCAAAUUUUAAAUGAGAUAUGGUGUAGCAAUAUCAGCUGAGUCACAAUAAUGAAUGCAGAAUGAAAGAUGCAAAAUGUAUUAUUUUUGAAUACCCAAAAAAUAUUAAAACUUUUGAUCUUUUCUGGCUAAUCCUUACUUACCCAGCUAUAACUUUUAUAUAUGUCUGACAUUGCGCACUCUCUUUCUCUGGCUGUGUGUGUAUGUCAGCUUAUGCAUGAGCUCCGUCAGAUCCUUGACUGAAGGAACUACUGUUUAACUGAUCAGCAGACCUGCUGGGGGACCUUUUAUGAGAAGGCACCAUUUUAUGCAGUAUUCGGAAAGCUCAUGAAGCCAUCGUUGUUGGACAAAGGUAAUUAUUAGCUCUUUUUUGCUUCUAUGUUCGUUUGCUUCUGCAAACUUGGGCUUAUACCAUCAUACUGCAGGUAACAUUCUGAGAACGGAUAAUAAGUACCUCAUACUAGGGUUGUCAGACAUAUUGAAAGUAUCAAUUUGAUCAUGUAUUUCAAUUCAUUUCUCCAUGGCAUCUACUCUACAACAUACACCUCCAGUUCAGUCUUGACUAUUGAGACUGGGCUACCACCACACAAUAAUUGCCUCAAAACUAUCAAAAAAUGAAACUCUGCAUAGAUCUCAAAGUGUUUCUUUAUCACUGAAAAGA